rnacentral:rRNA from 1 species
AUUGAACGCUGGCGGCAUGCCUUACACAUGCAAGUCGAACGGUAACAGGUCUUCGGAUGCUGACGAGUGGCGAACGGGUGAGUAAUACAUUGGAACGUGCCUAGUAGUGGGGGAUAACUACUCGAAAGAGUGGCUAAUACCGCAUGAGAUCUACGGAUGAAAGCAGGGGAUCGCAAGACCUUGUGCUACUAGAGCGGCCGAUGGCAGAUUAGGUAGUUGGUGGGAUAAAAGCUUACCAAGCCGACGAUCUGUAGCUGGUCUGAGAGGACGAUCAGCCACACUGGGACUGAGACACGGCCCAGACUCCUACGGGAGGCAGCAGUGGGGAAUUUUGGACAAUGGGCGAAAGCCUGAUCCAGCAAUGCCGCGUGCAGGAUGAAGGCCUUCGGGUUGUAAACUGCUUUUGUACGGAACGAAAAGCCCUGGGUUAAUACCCUGGGGUCAUGACGGUACCGUAAGAAUAAGCACCGGCUAACUACGUGCCAGCCGCCGCGGUAACAC